UACAGAGGGUGCAAGCGUUAAUCGGAAUUACUGGGCGUAAAGCGCGCGUAGGUGGUUCGUUAAGUUGGAUGUGAAAUCCCCGGGCUCAACCUGGGAACUGCAUCCAAAACUGGCGAGCUAGAGUAUGGUAGAGGGUGGUGGAAUUUCCUGUGUAGCGGUGAAAUGCGUAGAUAUAGGAAGGAACACCAGUGGCGAAGGCGACCACCUGGACUGAUACUGACACUGAGGUGCGAAAGCAUGGGGAGCGAACAGG
rnacentral:rRNA from 1 species